GUGGAUUAGAUACCCUGGUAGUCCACGCCGUAAACGUUGGGCGCUAGGUGUGGGGCUCUUUCCACGAGUUCCGUGCCGCAGCUAACGCAUUAAGCGCCCCGCCUGGGGAGUACGGCCGCAAGGCUAAAACUCAAAGGAAUUGACGGGGGCCCGCACAAGCGGCGGAGCAUGCGGAUUAAUUCGAUGCAACGCGAAGAACCUUACCAAGGCUUGACAUGGGGCGAAAACUGGUAGAGAUAUCAGGUCCGUAAGGGCGCCUCACAGGUGGUGCAUGGCCGUCGUCAACU
rnacentral:rRNA from 1 species